UACGGGGGGGGGCAAGCGUUGUUCGGAAUUACUGGGCGUAAAGGGCUCGUAGGCGGCCAACUAAGUCAGACGUGAAAUCCCUCGGCUUAACCGGGGAACUGCGUCUGAUACUGGAUGGCUCGAGUUUGGGAGAGGGAUGCGGAAUUCCAGGUGUAGCGGUGAAAUGCGUAGAUAUGCGGAGGAACACCGAUGGCGAAGGCAAUCCCCUGGGCCUGCACUGACGCUCAUGCACGAAAGCGUGGGGAGCAAACAGG
rnacentral:rRNA from 1 species